CAGUAGCCGCGGUAAUACGAAGGGUGCAAGCGUUACUCGGAAUUACUGGGCGUAAAGCGUGCGUAGGUGGUGGUUUAAGUCCGUUGUGAAAGCCCUGGGCUCAACCUGGGAAUUGCAGUGGAUACUGGAUCACUAGAGUGUGGUAGAGGAUAGUGGAAUUUCCGGUGUAGCAGUGAAAUGCGUAGAGAUCGGAAGGAACAUCUGUGGCGAAGGCGACUAUCUGGGCCAACACUGACACUGAGGCACGAAAGCGUGGGGAGCAAACAGGAUUAGAGACCCCGGUAGUCCCUGUCUCUUAUAC
rnacentral:rRNA from 1 species